rnacentral:rRNA from 1 species
UGCGUAGGCGGUUUAUUAAGUCAGAUGUGAAAGCCCCGGGCUUAACCUGGGAACUGCAUUUGAUACUGGUAGACUAGAGUAUGGUAGAGGGGGGUAGAAUUCCUAGUGUAGCGGUGAAAUGCGUAGAUAUUAGGAGGAAUACCAGUGGCGAAGGCGGCCCCCCUGGACCAAUACUGACGCUGAGGUACGAAAGCGUGGGUAGCGAACA